AGUCGUUUCCGGUUAUCAUAUCCCGUUCAUCGGGCUUUUCUUUCAAUAUACAUUAGUGCUUUUGCAGUGUUGGGCUGAACUUUUUCCAGUAUCGUUUUUCUUCGGUGAUUCUUGCCGCAUUGCUCUCGGCUGUUCAUGGCCGAAUUAGGAACAAUAGUAAAGCUAUUGUCUCUGAUUGAAGGAAAAAAAGAAUCCCCAGAUGAUUAAGAUUUAUUUUAAACUGUUCUUCUUUGUUGGAUCUUCGAUUAAAUAUGUACCUGAUCCAAUGUACAUUAGUAUCGAUCGUUUGGCCGGAAUUAUUAGUAUUGUUGGCAGUUGAUUCAUACUUAAGCUAAGACAAGAGUGAGCAGAUGCAAGAUGAAGAAGAGGAAUCGUAAGAAUGAGAAGAAGAAGAAGGAUGUUGUGUCGUAGGAGGAGGAAAAAGAAGAAAGAAGAAAAGGCACUUGGGCUAGAAGUUAACAAAGGCCCGUGUAAAUGGGUUUGUUUAGUGUGUGUUAUGUCAAGGAUACAACAAUCAUAUAAUAAUAUAAAUAUGGCUGUAUUGGUGUAAUGAAGAAUGUACGUGAGAUUAAGAAGAUAAGGUUGAAGU